rnacentral:sRNA from 1 species
AUAUAUGCUCAGUACGAUUCUUAAAUUUACGAAGACCAUAACGUCGAAACGGAGAACGCGCGCGCGCUUCGUAUCUAUUUACUCACUUGGGCGUCUUGUCAGACGUCAAGCUAACUGUGGAUCAGCGGGAUCUCUUGUGUGGGAGUAAAGAACACCUAACAACAACAACAACAACAACAGCAGAGAAAAACGUGCUUUCAUAAUUACUAUCUAAAUACUUUAAUUGAGCCCGGUGUGUGUGUGCGUGUGUUUGUGUAUGUUUUGUUUGUUUUGCUCUGCAUUCAAAUACAAAACGACAGUUUCCAGACACAUUCGUGCUUAACCAUUUGUUUACAUUUUGCUGAUGGUGUUUUGAAGAACGACGACUUCUCCUUUUCCAUCACUGCUAUAAGGCAAGGAAAAAUAACAACC